rnacentral:rRNA from 1 species
GACGAACGCUGGCGGCGUGCCUAAUACAUGCAAGUCGAGCGAACGGAUGAGAAGCUUGCUUCACUGAUGUUAGCGGCGGACGGGUGAGUAACACGUGGAUAACCUACCUAUAAGACUGGGAUAACUUCGGGAAACCGGAGCUAAUACAGGAUAAUAUUUUGAACCGCAUGGUUCAAAAGUGAAAGACGGUCUUGCUGUCACUUAUAGAUGGAUCCGCGCUGCAUUAGCUAGUUGGUAAGGUAACGGCUUACCAAGGCAACGAUGCAUAGCCGACCUGAGAGGGUGAUCGGCCACACUGGAACUGAGACACGCUCCAGACUCCUACGGGAGGCAGCAGUAGGGAAUCUGCCGCAAUGGGCGAAAGCUUGACGCAGCAACGCCGCGUGAGUGAUGGAGGUCUUCGGAUCGUAAAACUCUGUUAUUAGGUAAGAACAUAUGUGUAAGUAACUGUGCACAUCGUGACGGUACCUAAUCAGAAAGCCACGGCUAACUACGUG